rnacentral:tRNA from 1 species
GGGCGUGUAGCUCAGCUGGUUAGAGCGCAUGGUCGACAUCCAUGAGGUCACAGGUUCGAGUCCUGUCACGCCCA